CCAGAAAGUGUGCAAGAGUAUAUACCAUGAAAGUCUUCUUAGUAUUAUCAGCACUCCUAGCUUUGCUGAUGUCUCGGGCGACAAUCACAAGUGCACAAAAGUGUGACUGUCCAAGUGACUUCUCACCCGUCUGUGGCCGAGACUUGAGGACCUAUCCUAAUGAAUGCACAUUGGGGUGUGCAAAGCAGAGGAAAGCGUACAAUGGACACUGCAAGAAACGAGGGAACUUCUACUAACUGGCUGCAUCACUCUUCACCAUAAUUAUAAUUAAUUACUAACGAGACGACUACCACACGCCAAUGUGUGGAACGAUGCAUCUGUAUGCAUAUAGAAGGGCUAUCAAUGUGUGCAUGUUUUGGUCUGUUGACGUCAAAAAUAUGUUUGUCUUUUCGAAGUUGGCUAAGUAUUUCGAAAUUAAAAUCAAAUUGUUUUUAUUUCAAAUAGGCCUUUGCAGGCUCUUAUGAAAUGUCGCAUUAAUUGACAUUUCAUGUAUGUGUAGUAGUGUUUUGUUUUGUACAUUUUGAGUAUUAUGAAGUCUAUAGUAGCCAACUUCGGGCAACCAAGUAUGAUUAAAUGAAAAUUGAAGGAAUUCAUCAAUAUGUCGUAAUUGCUCGCACCUUCUUAAAGGGCGAAUAUUUUUUCAAACUCAUCUUUUGGUGAUUUAUCUAUUUUUAUAAUUGUUUUUUAAUUGUA